rnacentral:rRNA from 1 species
UCCGUAGGUGAACCUGCGGAGGGAUCAUUACGAGAGUGUCACCACUCCCAACCCAUUGUUUACCUACCCGUCCACCGUGCUUCGGCAGGCAGUCCUGUGGGACAGGGCCUCGCCCCCUCCGGGGGGUGCCUGCCGCUGGCCAACCAACCAUUCUAGCUGUUUUUGUACCAUCUGAGUCUUCCACAAAUAAACAAAACUUUCAACAACGGAUCUCUUGGUUCUGGCAUCGAUGAAGAACGCAGCGAAAUGCGAUAAGUAAUGUGAAUUGCAGAAUUCAGUGAAUCAUCGAAUCUUUGAACGCACAUUGCGCCCACUAGUAUUCUGGUGGGCAUGCCUGUUCGAGCGUCAUUUCAACCCUCAAGCCUGGCUUGGUGUUGGGGCUCUGCGCCUGCAGUCCCUUAAAUCCAGUGGCGGACACGCUAGGUCUCCGAGCGCAGUAGUUUCUUCUCGCUCAGGGCGUCCGGCGUGGGCUUGCCUCGCACCCAUCUUAUCAAGGUUGACCUCGGAUCAGGUAGGAAUACCCGCUGAACUUAAGCAUAUCAAUAAGGCGGGAGGGGAAGGUCGGACUGGCCAAGGGCACACAGGGGGGGAUA